rnacentral:rRNA from 1 species
AGAGCGAACGCUGGCGGCAGGCUUAACACAUGCAAGUCGAGCGGGCGUAGCAAUACGUCAGCGGCAGACGGGUGAGUAACGCGUGGGAACGUACCUUUUGGUUCGGAACAACCCAGGGAAACUUGGGCUAAUACCGGAUAAGCCCUUACGGGGAAAGAUUUAUCGCCGAAAGAUCGGCCCGCGUCUGAUUAGCUAGUUGGUGAGGUAAUGGCUCACCAAGGCGACGAUCAGUAGCUGGUCUGAGAGGAUGAUCAGCCACAUUGGGACUGAGACACGGCCCAAACUCCUACGGGAGGCAGCAGUGGGGAAUAUUGGACAAUGGGCGCAAGCCUGAUCCAGCCAUGCCGCGUGAGUGAUGAAGGCCCUAGGGUUGUAAAGCUCUUUCGCUCGGGACGAUAAUGACGGUACCGAGAUAAGAAGCCCCGGCUAACUUCGCGCCAGCAGCCGC